rnacentral:rRNA from 1 species
CCAGAGAACUUAGCAGAGAUGCUUUGGUGCCCUCGGGAACUCUGAGACAGGUGCUGCAUGGCUGUCGUCAGCUCGUGUUGUGAAAUGUUGGGUUAAGUCCCGCAACGAGCGCAACCCUUAUCCUUUGUUGCCAGCGGUCCGGCCGGGAACUCAAAGGAGACUGCCAGUGAUAAACUGGAGGAAGGUGGGGAUGACGUCAAGUCAUCAUGGCCCUUACGAGUAGGGCUACACACGUGCUACAAUGGCGCAUACAAAGAGAAGCGACCUCGCGAGAGCAAGCGGACCUCAUAAAGUGCGUCGUAGUCCGGAUUGGAGUCUGCAACUCGACUCCAUGAAGUCGGAAUCGCUAGUAAUCGUGGAUCAGAAUGCCACGGUGAAUACGUUCCCGGGCCUUGUACACACCGCCCGUCACACCAUGGGAGUGGGUUGCAAAGGAAGUAGGUAGUUUAACCUUCGGGAGGGCGCUUACCACUUUGUGAUUCAUGACUGGGGUGAAGUCGUAACAAGGUAAGCGUAGUGCU